rnacentral:rRNA from 1 species
GACGAACGCUGGCGGCGUGCCUAAUACAUGCCAGUAGAACGCUGAAGGAGGAGCUUGCUCUUCUGGAUGAGUUGCGAACGGGUGAGUAACGCGUAGGUAACCUGCCUGGUAGCGGGGGAUAACUAUUGGAAACGAUAGCUAAUACCGCAUAACAGUAGAUGUUGCAUGACAUUUGCUUAAAAGGUGCAAUUGCACCACUACCAGAUGGACCUGCGUUGUAUUAGCUAGUUGGUGGGGUAAAGGCUCACCAAGGCGACGAUACAUAGCCGGCCUGAGAGGGGGAUCGGCCAAAAUGGGAAUGGGACAAGGGCCAGACUCCUACGGGAGGCAGCAGUAGGGGAACGUCGGCAAUGGACGGAAGUCUGACCGAGCAAAGGCGGGGGAGGGAAGAAGGGUUUCGGGUCGGAAAGCUCUGUUGUAAGAGAAGAACGAGGGUGAGAGUGGAAAGUUCACACUGUGACGGUAUCUUACCAGAAAGGGACGGCUAACUACGUG